GCCGGGCGUGGUGGCGCGCGCCUGUAGUCCCAGCUACUCGGAGGCUGAGGCGGGAGAAUGGCAUGAACCCGGGAGGUGGAGCUUGCAGUGAGCCGAGAUCGCGCCACUGCACUCCAGCCUGGGCGACAGAGUGAGACUCCGUCUCAA
rnacentral:sRNA from 1 species